rnacentral:rRNA from 1 species
CAGCAGCCACGGUAAUACGGAGGGGGCUAGCGUUGUUCGGAAUUACUGGGCGUAAAGCGCACGUAGGCGGCUUGGUAAGUUAGAGGUGAAAGCCCGGAGCUCAACUCCGGAAUUGCCUUUAAGACUGCCGAGCUAGUAGGUGAGAGAGGUAAGUGGAAUUCCGAGUGUAGAGGUGAAAUUCGUAGAUAUUCGGAAGAACACCAGUGGCGAAGGCGGCUUACUGGCUCAUUCUAGACGCUGAGGUGCGAAAGCUAGGGGAGCGAACGGGAUUAGAUACCCCGGUAGUCCCUGUCUCUUAUAC